CGAACGGGUGAGUAAUGCAUCGGAACGCGUCCUGUAGUGGGGGACAACCCCGAGAAAUCGGGGCUAAUACCGCAUACGAUCUGCGGAUGAAAGUGGGGACCGUAAGGCCUCACGCUAUAGGAGCGGCCGAUGCCGGAUUAGCUAGUUGGUGGGGUAAAGGCCCACCAAGGCGACGAUCCGUAGCUGGUCUGAGAGGACGACCAGCCACACUGGGACUGAGACACGGCCCAG
rnacentral:rRNA from 1 species